AAGCGUGUGGCAGGUGGGACUCUGCCCUGCCACCGCCGAAAACCGCAGGCAGCAAAAGACUGUGGAGUAGCCCAUUUUCAAAGACUUUUGGAGGGCAGAAGAAGGGGGUUUGAGAGACGUCGGAUAUGGAGGAGGAGCUCAUGAACUGUUGGAGACCAACCAUUGGGAGAACUCGUUGCGAGUCCACGUCGGCCGGAAACUUCGCGAUUGAGACCCACAAGCGCCAUCUGAUCGAUUAGGGAAAAAGUUGAGGACUUCCACCGCCGAGGCUUGGAGCUUGAGGUUAGUGGAGAAAAAGAGUCAAAAUGGGCAGAAGGGAACGGAGAAUCGAGAUAUCACUUUGGAUCUACGAGAUUUGAGGAUUGUGGGCGUCAGAAACAAAUCAGAGGAUGAGGCGACGACGAGCAUGCAGAGAGGAAUUAUCUGAGGAGUUUGGCAAAUUUUGGAACUCUCGGAAAUGCAAAUCCGAACAAAGAGUGUCACGCUUUUCAGGUGGAGUUUGAUGUAGUAGUCGAGACGGGGCACACGUGGGCUGUUGGCUGUAGAGAAUCCCAUCACAUUUGAGUCUGUAGUCUUCUUUGUGCUUUGCCUUUAAACCGUGCAUUCCAUGUAUUUUAAAUCGUUUAAUAUCGAACUGAUGUAUUUUAGUGAUCUCCUUCUCGUCUCUAUAAAAGAAAUUUCAUUACUAUAUUUUA